GGGUGAUCUAUUGUAGAAGUUUAUCAGUACGAAAGGAUAGUAAGCUUUUUUGUUGAACAUGAAUUGUGUUAGCUUUGCAAAAGCUAAAGAGAAUUGUUUUAAUAAUUCCAUGUUUUUUAUUAAUUGUUUAACUGUGGCAAAAGAAAGUUUGUGUUUCAUUAACUGCAUAAAAUUAGUUUAUUUUUAGGUAUGACUCGAUGUUAUUUAUUUUAUUUAGCAGUUGAUUUUUUGUUAAAACUAGAGUUUUAAAAGGGUGAAACAUUUAGAGGGGAUAGGACACAGUGCCAGCAUCUGCGGUUAAUCUGUUUUCUUUGCUUUUACAUAGAUUGUGUGUGUUUAUUUAUCUUUAAAAAUAGGUUAAAUUUUUUUAUUUAAGUUUUAAAUAUUCAUUUUUAUGUAAAAUUUAUGUUUGUGACAGGGAUUAGAUACCCCAUUAACGUAUUUUGUAGUAUUAUUUUAGUUUGUAACUAAAAUGGUUUGGCAGCGAGUGAUUCUUUUUAGGGGAAGGUGUGGUGUAAAGGAUGUUCCGCCUAUUAAUUUACUUUUAUUAUGUUGGUGUAUAUCUGGUUUAAUAUUAUCGUUGAAUGACAUAAGUUUGUGUAGGUUUUAGUUAAGCUAAGUCUAUGUGCUGCUUAUAAAAGUAUGCAUGCGUUACAUUGAUAAAGUUUUAGUUGUAAGUGCUAUUAUAUUCAGGACUUAAAAGUAAUGUUAAAUUAGUUUGUUAAUGUGAAAUAAGUUUAGCUCAUGUACACACCGCCCGUCC
rnacentral:rRNA from 1 species